UGCAUCUAUCUGACAGACGUGGAUCAGUUUAUGUCUGCUUCUAAGGUUUCCAUUAUAGAUGCAAGAAAAAAGAUCCUCACACUUACUGUCUGUCGGUUUGGGCAGUCAAGAUUGAAUGGGGGAAUACAGGA